rnacentral:sRNA from 2 species
CAUAUAGAACAGCCGAAUUCCACUUAAUAAAUUGGAAACGGGGGAACCAACGCGCGCCGUAAUGGGCAACAACGGCCGCAAGGGGUGAAUUCUGGUCGGAGGCAAUAUGCUCCGACCGGAUAGGGCGUCCGUCACGCCCGAAUCCGUCAGCUAACCUCGGAGGCUGCAUGACAGGACUC